AAAAUAGCAGGUGAUAAACAGCACCAUAGGAAUAUACUGUCUUUUUGUUAACUGAAAACAGAAACAAUAGCGCAACAGACUACUUCCUGGAACAUUUUGCAUGAGGUGGAGAAAAUACUUUUUUUGUAAAAGAAUAUCGAACUACUCCCUAAUUUGUCAAUUAUUGGAUAUAUUGGGAAGCAUCAGUUUAUCUUCAUUUUUUCUGAAAAUAUCCAGUUGAAGUUUAUAGCAACAGUGUAUGCGUUGAUUCAGUCAUGAGAAUUCAUAGUGAAAAAAAUUGAAUGAAAAGAAUUCUAUGGAAGUGAGGAACAAUACUAGAUUUUCGUUAAAUAAGAGUGGAAAACUGUUAAUUUUGGUGAUACUGAAAAAACAAGUGUGGUAUGAACAUUUAAUCGUGAAGGAUCUUGUUGUUCUUAAGAUCUCAUUCGUUCCAGGAAGUAUCUGUUCCUGUGGUUCUAAAGAAAGCAUGAAGGUGUCUUUUUUCCAUUUGGAACGGAAAUGAUGUGCCAUUGCUUAAGGAAGGAUUUAUGUCAAUAACUGAUUGCUCACUAAAUGAGAAGGAUUUGCAGUUAAUUUUGGUGCUACUGAAACAACUGAUGCUUUUGAUGUCUUUUGAUUUUGGCUCUGAGAAUAUGAUGCAAUUAGAAAUUGUUGGGAAGUACUGAAACAAUAAAUUGUCUGCUGUGAUAUUCCUCCUAGAUUUGGUCUAAUUGGUAGAUUUUAGAAUGCUAUUCUCUACAGAUAAUUAAGAUGUUCCAACAAAUGAGAGGGAAUUAAUGUUCAGUUUGGUUGACAACCAAUGUCUACAUGGGUGUCGGCUUUCGUGGUCCAAAUUCUUGAUUUGGUGUUUUGCGUCUUCGCCUUGCAACAUCAUGAUUAUGCAGUUAAUCUUCGGCCCAUGAGUAACAGCAACUGAAAAGAAAAUCUUGAAUUCCACUGAAACAACACAUUUUCUGCUAUGGUAUUCCUCCUGGAUUUGGUUUGCUUUUCAGACAUGCAAAUUUUGGAAUAUUACAGUCUACACUUAAUUAAGAUCGACGUUGGAGAAGACAAAGAUGACCCCUUAGUUAAAA